rnacentral:rRNA from 1 species
GACGAACGCUGGCGGCGUGCUUAACACAUGCAAGUCGAACGGAAAGGCCCUGCUUUUGUGGGGUGCUCGAGUGGCGAACGGGUGAGUAACACGUGAGUAACCUGCCCUUGACUUUGGGAUAACUUCAGGAAACUGGGGCUAAUACCGGAUAGGAGCUCCUGCUGCAUGGUGGGGGUUGGAAAGUUUCGGCGGUUGGGGAUGGACUCGCGGCUUAUCAGCUUGUUGGUGGGGUAGUGGCUUACCAAGGCUUUGACGGGUAGCCGGCCUGAGAGGGUGACCGGCCACAUUGGGACUGAGAUACGGCCCAGACUCCUACGGGAGGCAGCAGUGGGGAAUAUUGCACAAUGGGCGGAAGCCUGAUGCAGCAACGCGCGUGCGGGAUGACGGCCUUCGGGUUGUAAACCGCUUUCGCCUGUGACGAAGCGUGAGUGACGGUAAUGGGUAAAGAAGCACCGGCUAACUACGUG